UAUAGGUUAGAGAGAGCAACAAUAUGCAGUGUGUAUGUGUAGCCUCUCAACUCUUCAAGUCCAUGCCAUGCCUUUCCACAGCUUUCUUGAACUUCUUCUUCUUCUUCUCUCUUGGAACGGCAGCUUUCUUCGAAUCUGUCUCUCUCUCUCUCAUCUCCGAAGACGAAGGUCAAGAAAGCUGUGGGAAGAAAUGACAUAACAGGGACUCUGGAAUUAUAUUCUGUAGCUAGUCAGAUGUGAUGUUAAUUGGCGGCUCUCUUCCUCACACUAUCGUUCUGUCCGCAAGCAGCAGCACACGGGCCGGGGCCGAUCUUACUCGUUGAGCAAGAACGAGGACGUCGAGGAUCAGUGCUCUCAGAAGUUUGCCUAGGACGACAUGGACAUGCAUCGACGACGGAGGCAAGUCUAACAUUAUCCACCGUGAUCAUGUUGAUCCUACGUAUAGACGCAACCCGUAGAAGCCAUGUUCAAGAUACUGCAUAAAGUGUUUUGCUGCUUAGUUCCAAACAUGUUUAGAUAUCCAUUCUUUUGAAUUGAUAUGAUGACCUGAUGGUUGCCUAAUGAUGGAUUAUUA